UACGUAGGGUGCGAGCGUUAAUCGGAAUUACUGGGCGUAAAGCGUGCGCAGGCGGUUCGUUGUGUCGGCGGUGAAAUCCCCGGGCUCAACCCGGGAACUGCGUCCGAUACUGGCAGGCUUGAAUUCGGGAGAGGGAUGUGGAAUUCCAGGUGUAGCGGUGAAAUGCGUAGAUAUCUGGAGGAAUACCGGUGGCGAAGGCGGCCUUCUGGACGAUGACUGACGCUGAGACGCGAAAGCGUGGGGAGCAAACAGG
rnacentral:rRNA from 1 species